CCUACGGGUGGCAGCAGUGGGGGAUAUUGCACAAUGGGGGAAACCCUGAUGCAGCGACGCCGCGUGUGGGAAGACGGUCCUCUGGAUUGUAAACCACUGUCCCCAGGGACGAAGAUGACGGUACCUGGGGAGGAAGCUACGGCUAACUACGUGCCAGCAGCCGCGGUAAUACGUAGGGAGUAAGCGUUGUCCGGAAUUACUGGGUGUAAAGGGAGCGUAGGCGGGAUGGCAAGUUGGGUGUUAAAUCUACCGGCUCAAUUGGUAGGCGCACACAAAACUGCUAUUCUUGAGUGAAGUAGAGGCAGGCGGAAUUCCUAGUGUAGCGGUGAAAUGCGUAGAUAUUAGGAGGAACACCAGUGGCGAAGGCGGCCUGCUGGGCUUUUACUGACGCUGAGGCUCGAAAGUGUGGGGAGCAAACAGGAUUAGAUACCCUUGUAGUC
rnacentral:rRNA from 1 species